AUUGAAAAUACAGUAUUUUUUGUAGUGUUUAUAAACUAUCCUGAAAGAUACUUUCUGGAAAACAUUUUUAUUACAUGAAGGUAAUCCAGUCCAUUUAUUAUGUAGAUCACUUAAACUCUUUGAACAUUACACCUACUGGGUUUUGAUUUAUGAAGUGGCCUGGAAUCUACCUUUGCACUGAGUAUCUUUGCAUUCACAUCUCCUCUGCCUUAGUCAUGGCGGUGACAGUACAGAAAAUCCUUUCAAACCUCAGAACAUAGUAGAAAUAAUUAAGCUGUUGAACGAGUCUUAAAAAUCAUACUACUGUUAAGUGGACCAAGUUUGGUGAAGCAGAAUGUGACAGGUUGAUUAAGGAAGGAACAACUCAAGGACAUUGGGAAGGAUAACUUUUCCACUUGAGAACUACUUUAUGUUUUACUGUAAUUUUAAAAAAAAAUUUUUUGUUCUGUUAUUUUGCAAAAGAAAAUAGUAUUUACAAGUGGCUUCUUUUAAAAUAUAAAAUAUAAGCAGGAAUGUAUAUGAAAUGUCAGAUUUUAUUGUAUUUGCAGAGUAUUAGCUUUGAAAUUGAGUAAAGAAAGCUGUAGUUUUAAAAUACCUUAUUGGUAUCAAUUAGAAAUUUCUUCUAUUUUUUGAUGUACUUAGAGCUUUUCGAGUAUAGAAUUUUAAAUGGCAGGAUUUUACAGUGUUUACAUGCAAGUGCAUUUUAUAAGUGUUCUAUAUGUGUAAAAUAGUAUUUUCAACUGGAAAGUGUUGGCUAGUGUAAAAUCCCUGGCCUUUUUCUGGUUCCCAUGAUGUUGCCUACACCGCUAGACUAUAGUUUAGUAUUGCUUUGUAUCAUAAGGCCAAGAAAUUCCAUGUUGUUUGUAAAUAGGAUAAUUGAAAAAGCAAUAAACAUUUAUUGAACAAAAGAAACCUUGUUUGGCCCAGAGUUUAUGUUGAACCAAAUUGUUCAAAGAGAUUUAAAUUUCGUUAGAUUCAUUUCUGUUGAUCAUCAGUUAUUAAUAAUCACAUCCAUCAUUAAUAGUUGCUUUAAUGCUUGCAUCUGAGAGAAUACUAAUGCUUAAUAGCAGUCAGAUACUGAUAACCUCACUGACUGUUUCAAAAUUCUGUAUACCAAACCUAUUCAUUGUUGUUUUCCAAUUUCCUUCAUUGACUGCUACUAACUAUUAGUUGUUAGUUGUAUUUUAUUUCUAUUUUUUCCUGUUAACCAGUUUUUGUUUUUGUUUUUGUUUUUUGUGGGAGUGGGCUCUUCUUCAUUUGUUCAAAUCAUGAUACGAAAUUGUCAUGAUUUUUAUUGUAUUCUUUAGAUGGUGUCAAUCAGUUUGUCAGAAUUAAACAUGCUUUUUUUAUUAGUUGUGAUUAGUUUUUCAUGUUGUCAUUAAGCCGUCACUAGCUGAAACUAAUCUCUUCUCUAUCUUUUCUUUUCUUUUUUUUUUAUUUUGUUUUUUGUUUCUAACCACCCAGCCGCCACCGGCAACUAACCUAUGACCUUCUGACCUCUGAACUCUUCACCCAAUGAUGACCUGACCAUGCCUGCCUGCUGAUCAGUUAACUGGUAAUCGCCUUUGCUUGCCUGUCGUCAGUGCAGCGAGCUGAGGCACUUGUCCGUUCGUUCGUCUUACCAUCUAACCAAACAAAAGACAAAGAAAUUGUCCUCCAACUCAGCUUUUGUUUUUUGGUUUUUUGUUCUGUUUGGGUGAAAGUGGUUCUAGAACCUGCACUGAAUAGUAGUAAAGCAAUAAGGCCCAAUUCAUCCCACAGCACUGAUCAUCUUGUAAUGUCCCACCCUAAGCGAACGGUAAGAAGGCCUCAUUUCAGAAGGGAACACAGAUGGCCCUUAAGUACUCAGUGACAGAGGCAGUUACUGUGAGAAACUUCUAGGAAUCUCUUCUCAUAGCGAGUCAAGCUCUCUGAAUGUACUGUGUGAUGAUGCAUCAUGCAUGAACCUUUGGUCAGGGAUGUCAUUGGUGAAGUGAUUUCAAAAGUAUUCAAAAUUGGAUAUGCUGUUUAGUCACUACAGUGCCCUCAAAGGGCACAAGUUGCAGCCUUUUUUAUAUUGCCUGCCAAAAUUUGAUUAGAAGUGUGCCAUGAGAGAAAGCUUAACAAGGAAUUUUGAAAAGUAAUGCAAAGAACAAACUGCAACACUAUUUUUAAAGGUAAAUAUCUGAGUUAAAAUUACUGAACCUUUAUUUUACACCUCCUUAAAAAAAUAUAUGAAAACAAGGUACAUGCAUUAUGUGUCACAUUACUGGGCAAACUGUUCAAAUAUUUUUUUUAAACCUCCCUGUAUAGAAAAAAAUCAUUAAGGAUGUAAAAGCCAUGCUUGCCUAUUUGCUGUAUACAUGUAAUGAAAUUGUAGAUAAAGUGUAGUGCAUUGAAACAAAUGAACAAAAAGUAGAUACUUUUACUAUACAAGGGUGCUGGUGCAGAAAAAAAUAUAUAUAUUUUUGGAAAUGUAGCAUUUUAUACUUUCAAGUGUUAUAAAAAAAAGAAAAAGAACAAAGAAACCCUUUAUUUCAUUAAAUGAUUUUUUCUGGUGGUUGUCAAGAAACAAAAGACCAAAAGAGCCUUUUUGUCUUUCUUUUUUAUUUUUUAAGUAUUGGAAUAAGUCUAAAGAAAAGAAAGUGCCUUAUUUUCCUUCAUAGUCAUUUAGUCAAGUGUCUCGUAAGAUCAGCUCCUCCCUCAGAAUACAAGUUAAUGCAUGUUACUCCAUCGCCCAGUAUGUGAAAGAAGAUAGGAGGGGAGACAAAUGAGUUGAUGGUUUGAAUUAUAUGAUUUUUGCCACAUUAUCUUGAUACAAAUUUGCCAAAUUUGAUACUGUGAAAAAAGUUUGAUAACUUUUCUAAUGCCUGACAAGUUUUAAAACAUCUUUCUUUUCAAGUCAUAAUUGAACGCUUUGGUUAUUGUGCUAUUUAAUAUUAGCCCAAAGGAUUCUGAAAUGAAAAUUACGUGUGAUCUGAAUGAACAUCACUUUACAGACAAAAUUAGAGCUUUGUUUUAUUCGGAGAAGGGAUCCAAGGGUGUUAGGGUUUUUUUUAAAUUAUUAAUUGGAGAUAAUAGUAUACUUAGCAAACUUAUUCACAAAAGUGAAACUUUGUCAUUUUCAUUCUAGAAAACAGUGUUUUUAAAUGACCCAAACUUAAUCAGACUUUCUGUCAUUAUCCAGAUCACUUGGGUAAUCCAUCUCUGCUGGUUUUAGUAACUGAAGCUGCCCCACUCCCCCAAAACCACCCUCCCACAUACUUUUUCUUUAACUUGAAAAGAAUGUGAAAAACAAGCAUCAUUAUGCAUACUCAACUACAUGUAAGUUGUAAGCUUCCAGUUUCUCAUGAAGUUCAGUUUUAUAGUUGAAGCAGUUUGUGCACAGAGCCUACAUCUAAACACAUAAGUAGGUAAUCAUUAACUGCUCAGUACCAGAUGUGGCAAAUAUCAAGUGGCAGUGGGUCCCCAGCUCAUCAACUCGCUCCCUCUGACACCUUCACAGCUUCACAGUCAGAGGUCAGCAGGAAGCUCAGGGAGCACCUGCAUGGUGACUUCCAUCAUCUUGUCUCACUUGGAAAUGUUUUCAGUUUAUUUACUAUGCAAUAGACAUUCAUUGUUUUAUAUUCAGCUAGCUCUGGUUUAAUGUGCCACUGCUGUGUCUUUCUGUUACACAUACAGUUGUUUUGAUUUACUUACAAUAUAUGCUGUGCCAUUUUGAUUUUAAUUUUGUUUGGUUGGUUGAAUAAAUUUGCGACACUCAAACCCUUGAGGUGAUAGUGUAAGUUUUAAAAUGAUACCAGUAUUUGAUCCAGUUUCAUCUCAACUAUGUUAUACCUGGACAUUUUAGAUGUUUAUCAAAGGUCUUUUAUGGGGAAGUAAAUGUAUGAAAUAAAUGUGUGACAUUUAUGAGUAAUGUUAGCUCUGAACAAACUUUUGAAAACUUAGUUGACAAAAUUUUGGAUCAACUGAAAAAAAGCAUGACUUUUGAAAUUUCUGAAUGCCUUGGUUCGCAGUAUUAUCAUUCUUUACUGAAUUUAUUUCUUAUUAAAAUACGUAGUUUUUAAGACUUUUUUUCUGACAGUAUUAUGUAAUUUUUUUAGCGUGGGUAGAUGGGAGUGUCACUUGUAUGUUACCGUACAGCUGACAUGUAUUUUUGUCUAUUCUUUAUUAUCUUAGUAGUUUCAUGCUGUGUAUGUACCAUAACCAACCUAUUGCCUAUGAGAAACAUGUAAGAUAAUGUAUUUACAGCCAUUGUUACAAGUUUAUAAUGUAUUUUUCUAUCUUGUUUUAUAUGUAUGUUAUAUAACAUUCAAAAAGAAUUUUUUUCUUGAUUGAGAAAAGGAUACAAAAUGCAAAAUCCACAAUUUUGAUAACCGAAAAUUGCCAAUUGUUUUGCAGUACUUUAUUAUAUUGGGUGUCUUGUCUUUCUUGGGCUUUUAGUUAGCUAAUGAAUGAAUACAUUAGACACUUUUGGGUUUUAGUUGGGAUUUUACAUAGCUUGCAUUUUAAUUCUUUGGUUCUUUGCUGUUUCUAUUAACCCAUAGCAUUAUUUUAAUAAAUGUUAUAAUACCAACCUACUAACUCUGGACUAUGUCUGUUUAUUAACCUUUACAUGUUUAAUUAAAAUAAACACAUAAAGACAAAAGAAUGUAAAAUCUUGAGUUACUGGACUAACCCUGAAGAACGUGACCACAGAUAACAUAGCGUGACUUGUUUUUAUGUUGUCUGUCAGCUGACAAUUCUGCACAUUACUGUUAAAAUGGCUUUUUUGGUUAUUCUGGCCUUUUACCUUGGGGGGUAGGUGCCAGUAGAGAUGGGAACAAAAUAGUGUUGGUUUGAGGCAUUCUAGUCUUGCCACUUGCCUUUCAGCCUCUGCAUUACUAAUUCCACACUUUCUUAUUUUUCCUUCUCCAAAAUAAUCACUGUCUGCUCACAGCAUAAAGCAGAAAGAGAUUUCAUUGUAAUGAUGAACCCCAAGAAACCAGUUUGAUUCCUUGUUGAACCAUUUUUUUUUUCCAUUUCUGAGUAGGUAACUGUAUGGUCACAUUAUAAAACAAAUUAUCUGAUGAUGUUUCCUUCAUUCAGAUUUGUCUUAAUUGAACAUCUUUCUUUUAUAAUGUGUUGAACUGUUUUAAGCCAGCUGCUCCUAUUAAGGGAGCUCAAUACAGGUAAAGCCAAAGGCAGAGUGGCUUGUGUUUCUCAUGACAGUCCAGAGUAAACCAUUAAUAGUGACAACAUACCCCACUUCGCUCUCACCCUCUUCCAAAAUACAGUAGGAAUAUAACAUUAAUACAAAAAUUUUAAGGGAAAAGGACACUGGCAUUUGAAAACUUACAUAUCGUUAAUUUAUUUACAUGCAAGUCAGUUUAAGAAGAUUAAAUAUCUUCAUGCUUUUGCUGGCUACAGCCUAGGUAAACUGAUGUCUACUUAUGAAUUCUCUAACUCUUAAGAUGGAUUUUUAUUUCACAGAUACUGGUCAUUUCCUUUUCUGUGAAACAGUUCUAGAUAAUAAAUUCUCAGGAUGAAUCUUUGUGUUUGUAAAUAAUGGCUUAUCUUUGUAAAUUAUAUUUUAUUUAUUUGAAAGUUUAAAAUUGGCUGGAAUGAGUCACAUGUUUUGGAAGAUACAAGUAUGCCAGUAUUAACCAGACUGUUGAAGUAUUCCCAUAUUUAUAUAUCCCCAUAGUAUAUAUAUACAUAUAUGAAAUGCCUAGAAUAGCGGUAAUAACUGAUUUAAUCAUAAUUAAGCUUGUCAUUUGGAUCAAACAAAUACAGUUUCUCUGAUUUAGGGGUGGGGGGCAUGUAUUAUUAGGUAGACAGCUUUAAUAUACUACUAUCUAAAAGUUCUCAUUGCCAUAUGGUUCAUGUAUUCUAUAAAAGUUUGAAGAUGUCUGUGAAGCUGCUAAUAUACAAGUUGUCAUGGUACUAUGUCCCUUAAGUUGAUGAAUUUCUAUGCAAUUUGUUACAUGUUCUCUGAAGCCUGUGAAUGCAGUCUCAUCUCAUUUUCAGCCAAGGUACCUUAGGUAUAAUUAUAUCAUACUGUCACCUUUAUGAUGUAAGAGCUGUUAAAGACCACAUUUAAAAGGUGAAAAUAAUAGUACAAAUUCCACUUUCCUACAGGCUGUAAUAGUAAUAAACAUGAUACUACCAAUUUCUUAAGAGUGAUAAAAUGCUAAAAUCAGUUUAUUGUUUUCUACUAUUUUUUGAUCAAACAAUUGAAAGUUAAGCCUUCAGUAGAGAAGCUGGUCAAAUAAUGUACUGAAUGGUUUUUUUUUUUUUUUGUAGCAUGAAAAUAAAUAAUUCCAUACGCCCUAGUGCAAUAACUGUGUGCAGUAGAGCCCACCUGGAGGGGUAGUGCAACACCCUCUCCUUAAAGCCAAGACGUGCAAACACACAAAGUAGGUAGGUGGUUAAGAUUUUCUAAAUAAAUACUAGACAGAUAAGGAUUUUGUAGUGCACUGAAAGACAUUAAGUUUAAAACAAAUUGCUCAUUACCAAAAUCAAGAAUCUUUUCUUUACCAGUGAAGUCUAACACUUACUGUAUCUUAGGUACAAGAAAGAGUUCAAGUUUUCUCCAGUUUUGUUUUUUCAAUUUUGUUUGCUUGUUUGGGAUAAGGCGUCUGUCUUUAUUCCUUGAUAAUAAUUAGCUUUAUAGUAUUUCCAGAAGGUGAUUUUUAGAAUAAUGAAAUCUUUUGCUAGAUAUAAUCCAUUAUUUAAUAUAAAAAAUGGCUCUCAGAAAACUGUAACAGUUUUCAGACUCAGACUUUGUAAGAACUAUUUAAGGUAGUUCUUUUAACAUUGUCACAAAUUAUUUAAUAUCAUUAUUUAAAAGGGGAAAAUAGUUUUUUUUAAAGUGUUGUCUUCUAAAAAAGAUAACACAGUUUUAGAAAUAUUCCGCUGGUAUACACGUGAUUUCACCUGCGGUUCCUUAAAAUUAUCCAAAUUGAAAUGUCUUUGUUAUGUAGAGACUUAACAAAAUUGUAUACCUGGUACUCAAUGCUGAAUCAAACUGGUUCACCUAAACGUAGUACUCCUCUCUGUGUUUCUGUUGCACUAAUUACAGGGGGCGGGAGAGGAGGAGGAAUUAAUUCGUGAUGGAAGUGGGUGGUAGGUGCAGCGUAUAGCACAACAGUGCCUCCCAGUUGCUUGAUGGUUCUGCUGGAAAAGCUCAGCUCCCAGGGUGAAAAAGAAAAUUACGCCUUUUUAAAAAUGCUAUUAUUCAGAAGUUCUGAUUACCAAAUACAUCUGUGUGGUUUAUAUUGUAGUGGUGUGUAUAAAACAUUUAGAAUUUUAUUUGUGGAAGUUGUAUAUGUAGAGAAAAAGUAGGUCUUCCCAAAUCACAUGUGAAUGGAGAACCCCAUAUGACUGUACAUAAAGUGCAAUAAACCAACUGGAAAAGUGUACAUAUGCUUCAUCUUCUCAGGCAAGUUGCAGCUGAAUAUGCUGCUUAUGCCCCUCUCCCCCCCCAAAAAAACGUGUAAAUACCAGAAUAAAGAAUGCACACUCUCA